AGCUGCAGAAGAAGCACCGGCUAACUCCGUGCCAGCAGCCGCGGUAAUACGGAGGGUGCGAGCGUUAAUCGGAAUUACUGGGCGUAAAGCGCAUGCAGGUGGUUUGUUAAGUCAGAUGUGAAAGCCCGGGGCUCAACCUCGGAAUUUGCAUUUGAAACUGGCAAACUAGAGUACUGUAGAGGGGGUAGAAUUUCAGGUGUAGCGGUGAAAAUGCGUAGAGAUCUGAAGGAAUACCGGUGGCGAAGGCGGCCCCCUGGACAGAUACUGACACUCAGAUGCGAAAGCGUGGGGAGCAAACAGGAUUAGAAACCCUGGUAG
rnacentral:rRNA from 1 species